rnacentral:lncRNA from 12 species
UAUACAGAAUGAAUUUGGCUGAGCCCUUUUUUCCAGAAGAAGGAUUCAGCAUCACAGAUUUGACUGUCAGCUGUGGUGCCUGGCGGCCCCGCCGAUUGGCACUCUGACAAAAUCUAAAGUCCAGAGCAGCAAGUAAACAUGGAUGACAUUGCAGUGAGAGAGGGGGAAAGAGAGCAGAUGAUGACUUGAGGCACCUGCAGCUGCUUGCACCCAAAUCAAAGUAAAGGCUGAGCUCACUGGAAUGGAAAAACACUGAAUUUACCGGGAGUGAGUUGGCUCUGUGCUAGGUGAGGGAGGAGGGGGCUCGAUGGAGGGCACGGGAGGGAAGAUGGAGCCCUGAGCACUGGCAUUUUGCCCACUGACAAUACUCAGCUAAAGUACCUUGGGGGAAAUCCCUGGGUCCUAAGGCCCCUGUCUCCCAUAUGGCGGGUGAGGAUUGGCAGGAGCCAGCACUGGGCUGCUGGGUCAGUGGACUGGAGGACCAGCCUGCGUAGGCUGAACCUCUGGGUAGGACAAAGGUGACAUUCACUUCCAAAACAUGGUUGGAGCCCUCGAAAUACCUUUCACAGGCUCUGUGACCUUCACCAAGUGAUUUAAUCCCUUGGCCUCAGUUUCCACAUCUGUAACAUGGACAUAAGAACAUGUGGUCAUGGUCGCGGUGAACCAUAGCCAAAUGACAUAAUGGAUGGACGAAACACAAAUAUACAAAACUAGUAAUUUCUUGUUUCUAUUUUUUUUCUCUUCUUGUUUCUGACCUAUAAGAAUUUACUUCAGACCCUUCUCUUCUGACAGUCCCCAGAUUUGAAGACACUGAGGCAUGCCAGGCCUCUGUAGGAGUCUCCUCCUAUAGAGUAGGUCCUCCUACUCUCCUCCUGGAGUCUGAGUUAACAAUUCAAGGUCCCACUGUGGAAUGCUGGAGCUCCUCACCCCAUGCCCUGGGCCUGAGUGUUUAUAGAAUGAUGACUUGGGAAGGAGGGCACCUCUCCUUUCUGUAUGGAUCAAUGCUUAAUUCAAAAGAAUGGCUUUCUAAUAGUGGAAUUUCUAGUAUUUGGCAUCUGCUUUUCUUUUAACCUUGACUCAUCAGCAAGCACCUACAUGUGAGGUGAGCUCUAUGUGUAUUUGUCUAAGUCAGGAGUCAACAAACUAUGUUUAUGGGCUAAAUUGGGCCAAUUGCCUGUUUUUGUAAAUCAAGUUUCAUUAGAUCACAGCCACAUUGUUGGUUUACGUAUUGUUUAUGGCUGCUUUCAGCCCUACAAAUGGUAGAGUGGAGGAUUUGGGACAGAGACUAUAUGGCCCACAAAGUCUGAAAUAUUUAUACUCUUUCUGGCCCUUUAUGGAGAAUCUCAGUUUAAGUUAACACCUAGGUUAAAUUCACAGUAGUGUUGAGAUGCGGGUAUGGUCCCAGAGGAAUCUGCUUUUGACUCUGUCAAGGGGCAUUUUUCUCCAGAAAUGUGAAGCAUGAAAAGAGCCCUAUGAUCAGAUAUUUCCAAAAAUAAUACUAAUGCUACCUCAAAUUAAAGCCUUUUACUUACUUCAUCUGAUCUUAAGGCUCAACAAUGGCCUCGGGGUAGAUACUGUUGACCCAGUUUUAGAGAUUGUAAAACCAAUGGCUCUGGGGAGUUACUGACAUGGCCUAUGUCUCAGAGCUUGCAUGGGAUAGAGCUGAGACUCAAAUCCUGGUCUGAAGUGUGAUCAUAGCGACAUCCCCAAAUGCCUCAAAUGAUAAGUACUACCAUCUAUUAAAUACUAGGUACUAUGUAGUACAACUUCUCUCUACUUCCUUAUUUAACCUCCAAGCCAACUUCAUCAGAGAUGGGAAUGUGCAGCACUAUUGCAUUAA